CCAAUGGAAAAUAUCCAAUCGGAAGUCUAUCCAAAAAUCAUUCCUAAAAAAUGAAAUUGCUUUCAUAUGGUAUAAAAAAGGCACCACUUUCAGAUAAAAACAUAGACCUGAAUGGCAUCAUCCAGUAUCCAAGGAAACCAUUAGAUGAAAUCAGAGAUUUGUAAGUGGCUGUCACAGCACUAGGAAGAGGGAUACUUCUGCCUACAGCCUCAUUAUUAGCCCGGUCUUGGAAUGAGACAUGUAUGUAUACUUACUACCUGAAUUUUUAUUGGGCCAAGAAAUCAGAAAAUUCUUGCAUGAGGGAAAAGCCACACGAAAACAUAGAAGAUGGACUUCUACAAGCCAUAAAGCCAUCCCUCACUAUAAACUGAAUCAUCUGGCACUUUGAACAUGGACUUUUUGCCUCCAGAACUGUGAGAAAAUAAAUUUCUGUUGUUUAAGCCACCAGUCUAUGAUAUUUUGUUAUGGCAACCCACAUAGACUAAUACAGUGAUUAAAGUCAAAAUCUCAUUCAAGCAGCUCAUUAUCUUGUGGAGCAGAUGGAGAACCUCCUUAGAGAUCCAGGGAUGCCACACAUCAUGGAUAACAUCCAUGCUCUGGACCUCAUCAAAACCAGACUAACCCCAAAUGAGUGAGCUGCUGGUGGCCUGGCUUUGAAACGAAAAUAACAGAGCUCUUCAGCCAAGAUUUGUUCUAUUUGUGAGUGAUAAAAGCCAAAGGUUAUAUUAAUUGGUGGGCUCCAGGUAAAUUACUCACAGCUGUCAUCACCUGAAACCAAACACUGUUAGAGACAGUGGGGCCAGAACAAAUUGCAAUCAAACAUUCAAUCCUGAAGCAGGUUUGUAUAUAGGUUUGGAAUAAAUAAAUUAUACAAUGGCCAUAGAUGCACAUUUAUCAUUUCAUUUUACCAGUGAUGCUACUGAGUCAACUAAAGACCACAUCCAGUAAACGCCUAUUUUAAUGAACAGCUCCAGGUAUGAAAUUUAUGCUGUUCUGGUUGCUGGGGGUUGGUGUUCUGACUAUUGAAUAAAUGGCUCUUUCUUCAAAAGCUUUGGUUGACCUGCUGAUUUAAAACCACUUCCCAAUAGCAGUUAACAGUAGGUUCCCAGCUGAGAUCAGAGAAGUCAAAACAGGUCUUUAUGACAGACAGGGAGAAGAAGUCGUCUGCCAGACAAUCAAGACUUGAAAAAGCCUAGAAACCAAGCUCUGUGUCUAGCUGGAGGCAUUAACCCCCAGGCAUUCACGGUUCACCGCAGACACACCAGUCCCUGUGUAGUUGAAGAAUGCUGGCAAGUCUUCCUUUCGAUCUGGCUACUGACUUACUGGCCCAUUUCUCAGGAUGUUGGCACUUAAACCAAUAGUGAUCAACACCAGUGAGAGAAUCUGAAACAGUCAAGUGUGUGACUGCUUAGCUACGGAUCAAAUCAUAAGAGACAAAUACCUGACUGAAAAAUUAUGUUAUCGCCCCUCUUGAGAACCUUUGUUCAGCAAGUAAGUAGUGGGUCCACUUUGCAUUAUAUUUAUCAAUACUUGUUUAUAUUUCAUGUUUCUUUAAAUUAACCUAUUGGCAAAAAAAUUAAGUAGCCAAAUUUUGCUCUGAGAGACUUUUGUCCCUGCAAUAUCUGUUUGGCUGAAAAGAUUGGGUGGCAUUGGAUUGCACGCAGCCUUGAAUGAUAAUAUAAAGUGUUUGGACUUCAUAAUUUAGCAGGAGGAACUUUUAGAAAGCUUGGGCCCCACACCCAAGGUUUCAAUUCUACUGAUUGGGAGUAAGAUCUGGGCACUGGUAUUUUUUUUUUUUUUUUAAUCUCUCUAGAUUUUUUAGUCCCAGCCUGUGAUUCAAAUGAAAACGUUCUUUAAGGCACUAAAUGCAAAAGCAUGAGCAAGGUAAAUGCAACAGGCCUAGUGUUAAGGAGAAGGUGGACAGAAAUUAGUAACAUCUGGAACCCAUUAGGCCUCCUGGCAGGAGCUAUAGUCACAGUGGGACAAAACUACUGCCAGAGAUGUGAUUCCAAAACGGGAAAAAAUUCAUGCAAAAAAAAAAAAAAUACCCUGACCUCUCUCCUCCCUUCCACUUGUCUUUUGUCUAUGCCUCCGAUUGGCCAAAGCCUAGGGGAACCCAGAGAGUGUAGUGUGUAGAAGUCAUCCUUUGGGGGGACACAAAGCAGGGUAGAGAAGGAUGAAAAAUGCAAGGGAGGCGGAAAAACAGAAAAUAACAGUACAGCAGGUGAUUUAAUGUACAACCAAGUUUGACAACUAAUUCUAUAAAUGGUGGGAAGACCAGGAAUCCCUUAGGAGCACAUAAUGUGAGACCAAUAUGGUACACUGCAUUUGGAGACUCUAUAAUCCAACAUUUGCCUUUUUAUACUUCAAA